rnacentral:rRNA from 1 species
UACGGAGGGGGCUAGCGUUGUUCGGAAUUACUGGGCGUAAAGCGCACGUAGGCGGCUUUGUAAGUUAGAGGUGAAAGCCCGGGGCUCAACUCCGGAAUUGCCUUUAAGACUGCAUCGCUCGAAUUGUGGAGAGGUAAGUGGAAUUCCGAGUGUAGAGGUGAAAUUCGUAGAUAUUCGGAAGAACACCAGUGGCGAAGGCGACUUACUGGACACAUAUUGACGCUGAGGUGCGAAAGCCAGGGGAGCAAACGGG